UACGUAGGGUGCGAGCGUUGUCCGGAAUUAUUGGGCGUAAAGAGCUUGUAGGCGGUCUGUCGCGUCUGCUGUGAAAAUCCGGGGCUCAACCCCGGACUUGCAGUGGGUACGGGCAGACUAGAGUGUGGUAGGGGAGACUGGAAUUCCUGGUGUAGCGGUGAAAUGCGCAGAUAUCGAGAGGAACACCUGCGGCGAAGGCGGGUUGCUGGGCUGAUACUGACGCUGAGGCGCGAAAGCCAGGGGAGCGAACGGG
rnacentral:rRNA from 1 species